UCGAGAAUCUUCGGCAAUGGACGAAAGUCUGACCGAGCGACGCCGCGUGCGGGAUGAAGGUCUUCGGAUUGUAAACCGCUGUCAGAGGGGAUGAAGUAUACGAGAGCAAUCUCUUGUAUUUGACAGAGCCUCAGAGGAAGCACGGGCUAAGUUCGUGCCAGCAGCCGCGGUAAUACGAACUGUGCGAACGUUAUUCGGAAUCACUGGGCUUAAAGGGUGCGUAGGCGGUUUUCUAAGUCACGUGUGAAAUCUUCCGGCUCAACCGGAAAACUGCGCGUGAUACUGGAUGACUUGAGUGAGGUAGGGGUGUGUGGAACUUCCGGUGGAGCGGUGAAAUGUGUAGAGAUCGGAAGGAACGCCAGCAGCGAAAGCGGCACACUGGGCCUUUUCUGACGCUGAGGCACGAAAGCUAGGGGAGUGAACGGGAUUAGAUACCCCCGUAGUCC
rnacentral:rRNA from 1 species